rnacentral:rRNA from 1 species
ACUCAAAGGAAUAGACGGGGACCCGCACAAGCAGCGGAGCAUGUGGUUUAAUUCGAAGCAACGCGAAGAACCUUACCAGGGCUUGACAUCCCCCUGACGCCUCCUUAACCGGGGGUUCCUUCGGGCAGGGGAGACAGGUGGUGCAUGGUUGUCGUCAGCUCGUGUCGUGAGAUGUUGGGUUAAGUCCCGCAACGAGCGCAACCCUUGUCAUUAGUUGCCAUCAUUGAGUUGGGCACUCUAGUGAGACUGCCGGGGAUAACUCGGAGGAAGGUGGGGAUGACGUCAAAUCAUCAUGCCCCUUAUGUUCUGGGCUACACACGUGCUACAAUGGCCGGCACAACGGGAAGCGAUACCGCGAGGAGGAGCGAAUCCCCAAAACCGGCCCCAGUUCGGAUUGCAGGCUGCAACUCGCCUGCAUGAAGUCGGAGUUGCUAGUAAUCGCGGAUCAGAACGCCGCGGUGAAUGCGUUCCCGGGUCUUGUACACACCGCCCGU